rnacentral:rRNA from 1 species
AUACGUAGGGGGCAAGCGUUAUCCGGAUUUACUGGGUGUAAAGGGAGCGUAGACGGUUAGGUAAGUCUGAUGUGAAAGCCCACGGCUCAACUGUGGGACUGCAUUGGAAACUAUUUAACUAGAGUGCAGGAGAGGUAAGUGGAAUUCCUAGUGUAGCGGUGAAAUGCGUAGAUAUUAGGAGGAACACCAGUGGCGAAGGCGGCUUACUGGACUGUAACUGACGUUGAGGCUCGAAAGCGUGGGGAGC